UACGUAGGGGGGCUAGCGUUGUCCGGAAUCAUUGGGCGUAAAGCGCGUGUAGGCGGCCCCAGUAAGUCCGCUCUGAAAAGCCCCGAGGCUCAACCUCGGGAGGCGGGUGGAUACUGCUGGGCUCGAGUACGGAAGAGGCGAGUGGAAUUCCCGGUGUAGCGGUGAAAAUGCGUAGAUAUCGGGGAGGAACACCGGUGGCGAAGGCGGCCUUCUGGUCGGAUACUGACGCUAAAACGCGAAAGCGUGGGGAGCAAACAGG
rnacentral:rRNA from 1 species